GGGCCUUUAGCUUAGUGGUAAAGCAGCUGGCUUUUAACCAGUUGACCAGGGUUCGAUUCCCUGAAGGCCCACCA
rnacentral:tRNA from 1 species